rnacentral:rRNA from 1 species
CCCAAGGACGAAGCCAUGCAUGCCCGCUCACCCGGGACGCGGCGGACGGCUCAGGACGACGGUUGCACCCCUUGCGGCGGUCCCUGCUAGCCGGACACCGCUGGCAACCCGGCGCCAAGACGUGCGCGCAAGGGCGGGCGCCCGCGGGCGAGCAGCGUGACGCAGCGACGGCCCGCCCGGGCUUCCGGGGCAUCACCCGGUCGCCGCGGUCGCGGCGCGCCGAGGGCCCGACG